AGAUAGAUGAUAGAUAGAUAGAUAGAUAGAUAGAUAGAUGAUAUAUAGAGAUCUAUCAUCUAUCUAUCAUCUAUCUAUCAUCUAUCU